CAUAGAUUGAAAAAUGUCAGAAAAUUAUACUAAAAUUGUAUCUAUAUGUAAUCUGGAAAAAAGACAAAAUUAAAAAAAAGGUCCAAAAGUUGAAUAGUAAAGGCCAUCCUGUCCUGCAUCCCCUGGGGUUCUUUGGCCAAGGAUUUCUACAUUCCUGGAGUGCUUCAGUUUUCUCAUCUGUAAAGUGAGCUGGAGACAGAAAUGGCGAACCACAUCAAUAUCUUUACCAAGAAACUCCCAAUGUAGUCAUGUAGCAUAAGACAUGACUAAAAUGGCUGAAUAACAAUUGUGUCCCAGGCAUUGGACUAAGAACUGAGGAGAUGAAAGAAAGGCAAAAAGUAGUCCCUGUCUUUGAAGAGCUUCUAGUCUAAUGGGAGAGACAAUCUGCAAAUAACGUUGUGCAAAUAAGACAAAGAGAGAUGGAAUUGGAGACAAUCUCAUUGGAAAAAAUGUUUCUUGCAAGAAGGUGAGACUUUAAUUUCCAUUAUCAGCAUUCUCAUUGAAGAGAUCAUAUGAUAAUGAAUCUGAAGAUGUAAGAGAUUCCAGAAGUGAUCUAGUCCAAUUCCUUUAUUUUGCAGAGGUGGGAAACUAAGGUCCAUAUAAAAAUAAUUGUUCUUACAAAGUCAUACAGAACCCAGCUCAAGUCUCUUUAACUCCAAAUCUAGAGCUUUUCCUAUUAUAUCUAUUACCUUGCCCAUCUAUCACACACUCAG
rnacentral:lncRNA from 1 species